CGGCAGGCAACCCUGCUCUUUUCUUUGGCCCCAUGUGACACCCACAAGGGAGCAGGCAGCUUAGGCCUUGUGAAUGAUUGUUCACAGGGCCCUUCCCUGACUGCAGCCCGUACGCCAGGACACACACCUCCAGACUGCUAAAUGGCUGAGAAAAGGACAAUGGUUUUCCUGUGAUGGUAUGACCUGCAGGACUGGCAAGGCAAGGAUUGAGAUCAGUCAGAGUGGCAGUUUCUAGGGAAACCCUCAGUACCUUCAAGGGGAGAUCAAGGACUCUGUCGAGUUGCAGAGAAGUUACUGAAACCAUUCAUCCAUUUGGCCAACAGCCAUCAACGAAGGCCUGGGGCAGAAAGAUGCGUUACAGUUGGCCUCAGGAGAAGCUAAGACAGCAGAGACUGCCCUGUGG